GCCUCAUGCUCUCUCUCUGUUUUCCAGCUUGUUAGGAAAGCCCGAAGAGAGGAGGGUAAGGUCCCCGAGACCACUGCUUCAGUGUCUCCAGAUGCCCCUUGUCCCCUCUUCCUACUCACUUGUGCUGCUCAGGCCUAGGGGAGCUGUUGUACGGGCCUGACAUUUCCAUGAGCGCUGCUGCAAAGCUCUGUGCAGGGAAGAGUCGGCGUGAUGGCACCUCUGAAGAGGUGGACAGACUCUAUCCUUUUUAGCCCGCUGCCUCUCAGGCUUCAGUCCUACCCGGGGAUCAAACGCCUUCCGGAAGAGUCUUCCCAGCUGCUGUGCGUAGCUCUGGGCCCGGCCAGUCUCAGAGCCAUACAGAAUGGUUGCCUUCACACGCUUCGCCAUCACCGUGCCCAUGAGUGAGGCAGAGAUCUUCACUGCACUGCAGGGAUGAGGUUGUCCUGGUGUCCAGAUCCAUGCACACAGCCACAUCCUGGGUCAAGUUGAAGAGAAGCAGCAAAAGAGUGGUGAGGAGGGGGUGAGAGGAAUACUGGGUUGGGUCAGUGCUUUGUCCAGAAAGGUACUGUGGAACAGAGGCAGCAAGUCUCUCCUCAGCCCUGGCUUUUGUUUGUCAUCUCUGAAGCAGAGUGUAAACCUUUGCUGAGAUAAGGUCCCCUUUAGCCAGGCAUGGUGGUUCAAAGCUAGAAUUCUAGCACUUGGCAUGCCAAGGCAGGAAGAUUACCAUGUUCAGGGCCAGCCUGGGAACACACACACACACACACACGCACACACACACAUUCACACACACACAUUCAUACACACACACACACAUACAUACACACACUCACACACACACACACACACACACACACACACACACACACACACACACUCCUUUGAGAAUCUGAUGAAACCUAUCCUUCACAAGCUCCUCACUUAGCCUCCCCCCUCCCCCACCUUUGUGGCUCCAGAGCUCAUGUACAUCCUUGGACCUGCCUUGACGCACACUUUCCCACGGCCAGCACUCUGGGUGGGAGUGGGGGCUGCAUACAGCUUCAUGUCCCCUUUCCUCAGCAUUCCCUCACCUCAAGUAUGUUGUAGCGGUGAGGGUCACACAGGUCCCUCAUGCCAAUCUCUGAACUCAUGUACCAGCCGCUGAAAGGGGCAGCAGGAAACUCCAGGCCCCCGAUUUCUAGCAGCAUGUUGGACACAGCUGGGAGGGCAUACCAGCGCAGGCCAAGGGCAGCAAACCACUCGAGCCUAGGGGUAGGGUUUGGGAUUAGCUUCUAUGUAGAGUUGCCAGGUGCCCCCGGACAGUCCCACCCUCGGCCUUUCAUGCUCACGUGGGGUGCUCCAGAGGCACCUCGAGGACCAUCUCUGGGGGCAGAGUGAAGAGUUCUGGGGGCUCAUCAGGAGCCUGGAGUAACAGGGGCAGCACAUCAAAGCGGCCAUUUCCUGGGGUCCAGCCAUGUUGGAUACAGAGCUAUGGGAAGCAGGCAGAGGUGGGGUCAAGGGUUGUGACCCAUGACCUUACUAGGAAUCUUCCCCAUUAGCCAUUCCCCCACUCUUUACCUCAGGGGCUCCUCAGGGGCUGGGUCUCUAUGCCCACUGCUCUUGUCAUCAAGGCCUGCUUUGAACUCCUGACCUCUCACAUCUAUGACCAUAGGAGUGCACUACCAUGCCUGACUUUCAUCUCAAGGAAGGCCCCCCUUUCUGCUCACUGACCUCUUGGC
rnacentral:lncRNA from 1 species